AAUUAGACUGCAUGUGGAGAAUGGGCUAUAUAUAUCUAUAUAUCUAUAUAUAGAGCAUUCUCCACGUGCAGUCUAAUUGAG